rnacentral:lncRNA from 1 species
AUGGAUGAAUACGCUAAGUGUUUGGGCCAUGGCAGUCUGGCGAGAGCUUACGAUCAUUUAUGCACUCUGACAGAUAAUAAUUUGGUGCAAGCUUUUUUUGCGGCCUGUGAACGUAUAGCAGAAGAAGCUAUCUUCUCUGCUGUAAGUAAUUUUUCAAUGAUUUCAAAAGAAGCUUAUGAAAAUUGCUUCGAUGCUGCAGUAUCUGAUUAAUCGAUAUAACAAACUGGGAAAAAAAUUAAAAAGAACAGAUGAAAACUUUGCUGUAUUUUCUCUUCUUGCAUAAUCUAGUUAGAAUAAUGUAUGAAUAAAACUUUAGCAUAUUAUUUUAAAUUUAAAACAUACAGGAUAUUAAAGAUUUGAUUUUCAAUAAUU